rnacentral:rRNA from 1 species
CCCACCCGUGUUUAUUGUACCUUGUUGCUUCGGUGCGCCCGCCUCACGGCCGCCGGGGGGCUUCUGCCCCCGGGUCCGCGCGCACCGGAGACACUAUUGAACUCUGUCUGAAGAUUGCAGUCUGAGCAUAAACUAAAUAAGUUAAAACUUUCAACAACGGAUCUCUUGGUUCCGGCAUCGAUGAAGAACGCAGCGAAAUGCGAUAACUAAUGUGAAUUGCAGAAUUCAGUGAAUCAUCGAGUCUUUGAACGCACAUUGCGCCCCCUGGUAUUCCGGGGGGCAUGCCUGUCCGAGCGUCAUUGCUGCCCUCAAGCACGGCUUGUGUGUUGGGCUCCGUCCCCCCGGGGACGGGUCCGAAAGGCAGCGGCGGCACCGAGUCCGGUCCUCGAGCGUAUGGGGCUUUGUCACCCGCUCUGUAGGCCCGGCCGGCGCCAGCCGACAACCAAUCAUCCUU